rnacentral:rRNA from 1 species
UACGGGGGGGGCAAGCGUUGUUCGGAAUCACUGGGCGUAAAGCGCGUGUAGGUGGAGCAGGAAGUCUGCUGUGAAAGCGCCUGGCUUAAUCGGGCGAGGUCGGUGGAAACUCCUGGUCUAGAGGCCGGUAGAGGGGGGUGGAAUUCCGGGUGUAGUGGUGAAAUGCGUAGAGAUCCGGAGGAACACCGACGGCGCAGGCAGCGUCCUGGCCGCUUGCUGACACUGAGGCACGAAAGCUGGGGGAGCAAACAGG